AACGAACGCUGGCGGCAUGCCUAACACAUGCAAGUCGAACGAGACCUUCGGGUCUAGUGGCGCACGGGUGCGUAACGCCUGGGAACCUGCCCUUAGGUUCGGAAUAACUCCCCGAAAGGGGUGCUAAUACCGGAUAAUGUCUUCGGACCAAAGAUUUAUCGCCUUUGGAUGGGCCCGCGUUGGAUUAGCUAGUUGGUAGGGUAAAAGCCUACCAAGGCGACGAUCCAUAGCUGGUCUGUGAGGAUGAUCAGCCACACUGGGACUGAGACACGGCCCAGACUCCGACGGGAGGCAGCAGUGGGGAGUAUUGGACAAUGGGCGAAGGCCUGAUCCAGCAAUGCCGCGUGAGUGAUGAAGGCCUUAGGGUUGUAAAGCUCUUUUACCCGGGAUGAUAAUGACAGUACCGGGAGAAUAAGCUCCGGCUAACUCCGUG
rnacentral:rRNA from 1 species